GAGGGAGGGAGGAAGGAAAGAAGGAAGGAAGGAAGGAAGGAAGGAAGGAAGGAAGGAAGGAAGGAAGGAAAGAAGGAAGAAAAAGUUAAAACUGGGUAGGGUCUCAGACACCUAAAGUCGGGAGCUCAAGACUGGCUUAAGCGCUCUACCUUGAGAAGGGUCAGUAACUCUAUCAAGUGGGUUCAGACCAGGUCUUAUACUGUCGUCCAGCUGGACUGCUCUCACUGUGUAGCCUAGGCUAGACUUGAACUCAUGUCAGUUUUUCUGCCUCAGACAUUUCAGUGCUGGGAUUACAGGUGUCAGCUAUUGUCCCUGACUCAGAGCUAGGGUUAUUUAGGGUGGGACUUUAGUCCAUCCGUCUGUCCAUCCAUCCAGGACAGGGUCCUCCGCAUCCCAGACUGUCCUGAACUCCACAAACAGCUGAAGAUGACCUUGAGAUUCUGACACGAUUGCCUUCACCUGAGAUCAUGUCUUACACCACAUUGGUUUUUGGUGCUGGGAAUCAGACCCGGCUUUGUGCAUGCUAGCAAGCUCUGUACUAGCACAGCCGCCUCCCUACCCCAGCCUCCUGUGUAACACUUUGCUUUUGCUUGCUUGCUUACUUGGUCUCACUUUUCAUCCCCACCUUUCAGUCAGUCCAGAGCCAGUGUGCCAGGCAAGCUGUCCACUCCACCAUGGAGACUCUCCCAGCCCUGGUACUGGUUUAUUGUCUGUAUUUACUGGUCUUUGUGGUGUGUCCAUGUGCACAGACAUGCCACACAACACGUGGCGCUCAGAGGGCAACGAGCAGGAUUUUGUCUUCCUCCACAUGGACCCUGCGGAUUGAACUUGGGGUGUCAUUGGCUUAUGGCCAAACCUUUACCCACAGCUUGUCCUCUGCUUCCACAUGCCUGCUGCAGCAUGCACCUCCUCACCCCAGAGAAGAGUACUCAGACUCACUUAGCUGAAUUAGUAUGAUGUGCCGAUCCCCCUGCCUCCACUUCCCAAGCUCUGGGAUUACGGAUGUGUAUCUACCAUGCCUGCUUUAUACAGCGCUGAGGAUCCAGCCCAGGCCCUUCUCAAUGCCAGGCAGGGAUUUUGGUAACUAAGCUAUAUUCUCAGACCAUUGUAAGAAAUGGUUAACAUUUCCAUUUUCACCUUACUGAGCCUUUUGUUUAGUGCCUUGAUUUCUUUCUACCUUUUUAAUGUGCCAUAGUGUAUCAGUGAAGUUUUGCAGUUUUGAUUCACAUUUGCUAAAUUUAUAAUAGGUUGUUUUUUCGAGACAUGGUUUCUCUGUAUAGGGCUCACUGUCAUGGAACUCACUCUGUAGACCAGGUUAGCAUCAAACUCAGAGACCUGCCUCUGCCUCCUGUGUGCUAGGAUUAAAGGCAACUGCUACCACCACCUAGCUGCUGAUCGUAUAAUACUUUUUAUUUGGCUUUUGACAAGAACUUUUCAUCAUGUCUUUUGAAUUAUACUGUUAGAAAAAGAUGUUGAUUUUUGUAAUUGAACUAAUU
rnacentral:lncRNA from 1 species